CUUAGGCGGGUGAGGCUCCCAUAUGACCGUAUGUAAACAGUAAGGACAACAGCAGAUGCAUCUAUUCCAGCCAGUCCAGAUGACACUAGAAACUGAGAGAUGAAAGCUGUGAGAGGAGCAGAGAAUGCCAGGCGGUCCAGUGGCUCAGAAGAACAAACAAACACCUCCCGGGUGCUGGUUCACAGUGGGGAGCGCUCAGAACUACCCCUGACCACGCUUAGCCACAGCUCGAUACCCCAGCAGGAAAAAAGCUGAGAGACAGAACCUGCUCUUCAGCUGCCUCUUCAGUAAUUCCCUGUUUCCUUCCGAUGGGAGCGCCAUGGAGACAGCAGAAAGCAGGGUGC